GGAUUGGAGGGCGAUCUGGCUGCAACAUCUGUCACCCCAUUGAUCAUCAAGGUGGAUUUGGCUCAUUUGGUUGUCUAGGUAGGCAUCCCCUUCCUCCCACACUGCUCAAUGUUCGUCCUUCCUGAAGCUAGGUACUUGGUGGAAGACUACAGCCUUCUCCUGUCAGAGGAGGAUCAAUCAAUCAAUCAGUCAGUCAAGGGGAUAAGAGUAGUUUUUCUCCCCUGCUAGAACCUCCAAACAAAACUCUUAAGUAUUUUUAUAAAGGCAUGCAAAGGAAGGUGAAACAAGGUAGCUUUGGUCACACUGCCAUCUU
ensembl:misc_RNA 7SK 7SK RNA